UAUUCUCAACGGAGAGAUUGCUUCCUCUUCCGGGACUGUAUAUUUCAGAGCCGUUGGCCGGGCCAGGUGUUCCCAGCCAAGCUGACGAGCGGCCCUGAUGCACAGCUCAUGCCAGUUGAAUUCUCAAGCAGUGGUGGAAAAACACGGAAACUGUAGAGAUUAACCAAGGUGGUACAGAGUUGAAAACAUUUCUGCAUCGGUCAUGUUACUGGCGGCGAGAGGAAGCUGGAUGCCAAGCUGGCACACGUUUUCAGAAAUGAAUGGGAUACUUGAAGGCUUCAGAAUGAAAAUGACAGUCUUCAAGUGCAUACUUGGUGACGGAGGCUGCCUGCGUCUGUCUGCUCUCUGAACAAGAAGCCUCCUCUGUGCACAUCUCACCUCGCCCACGACGUCUUGGAAACCAGCAGAUGCCCGGAGGGAACCCGCUUGGGGCUGUGCCUGUAUAAUGAGGCUUCUCUUUAAGGCGUUCUUUCUUGUUCACCCCGGUCCAUUGAGAAGAUUCCACUCAACCAAACAAGGUUGUCCUUUGAUGUGCGUCUCUCGUUGCAUGCCCAGUUUUUUAACUGAGCGUGCAAGGAGAGCCCACUCCCUGCGUUUUGGGUCUUUGGCAGGAGGACCAUGCGGGUGGAGGGAGUCUGGGCUGUCUGCUCCUCAGCCAGGCAGAGCAGACGGCCAGGAGAAGCAGGAGAGAGAUCUUUCUGAAGUGGGAGAAACAAGACAGAGAACUGUCAAACUCCCACUGGCAGCUGCUGUUCAAGUCGGAUGCGGAAGGGAUCACACACAGCCAGCUUCAGAAGCGAUCAGGGAGCCAGAGGUUACACACCAGGAUUCUGAAGGGAAUUAUGGCUAUCUUGAAAAUGAUCAUGUAUAGAAGGUUCUAGAAAUCUAGGUCUUUUUUUUUUCUUCUGCAUUGAACAUAGCUUGAAAGAAGUCAUUGUUUAUCGUGACCGAGAUGUUUCUAUCUGCUACCUGUUGAAAUCAGGGUUGACCUACACUCCAAAGUGAGAUAACAGAAAAUAUAGAUGUUUUUUGGCACACAGAGACAUCGGUAUGUGGGGAAGGGCUUUGAGUUUUAUCUGUAAGUUGCAAAACGGUGAUUUUGCUGCCUGCGUCUCCAUUCCUUCUGGGCAGAUGCAAACUUUUGCAGACGGGAUCUCCUGUCUUCAUUAUUUUCUUUCCUUCCUCUUUUAUUUUGCAUUUUCUCUCCUUUUGCCCUUUCUCCUCUGAAAGGUCCAGAGUUCUGAAGAGGAGGGUGAGAAAGGAGGGAAUGGUCAAGGGUCAAGUUUCAAAGGAAGGACAGAGAAGGAAAAAGAGAAUAAGAACAGCUUUGGCCCAGGAGUUAAGAAAGCUGAGCUUGAGUCUGAGGUCUGACACCAAACAAGAACAACAACAACAAUAAUAAUUUAAAAUAAUAAUAGCGCUUACUGCAUAUCAAGCACUUACUACUGCCAGGCAUUAUCUGGACUUUGGAUUUAACCUGCCAAGUGAAUGAGUAAGGUGAGUGCACCCCUGGUGCCCACGCUGCAGAUGAGCAGACAGUUCUAGAUCUCUAGGUGGCCGCCCAUGGUCACGCAGGCCUCAGAGGCUGAGCUGGAAUUUGUGAUCACGAUACUGCGUCGCCUCCUCUGGUGCACGGAGGCAAUUAAUGUCCAUCCCCUCAGUCUCUGCACAACGAGACGGUCUUAACAGAUGCUUUAAAAGCUCCUUCCAGGCCUUCCUUCAAUCAAUGCCAGUGCUACCUUCUUCUUCCACUAGCUGUUUUCUCAAGACUUAAUACAAGAAUGUGGCACCCUUGGCUACUUGAGGCCAUUGGAGGCAAAGGGAGAGGUGAGCGUUUAACACCCAGUGUUGCCUCGUCACACCGCUUCCUGGGUCCUUUGAGAGGAGCCUUCACAUUUCAAGCAAAAUAUUCGUGUUCAGCAGGUCCCAAGCAGAAGACCUUGCUGGAGAUCCCUGCAGAUGAGCUCUUCAGCUUAACAGAGUGUAGGAACAACACCAAGGUGCCUGGAGAAUAAAGCAACCGUGGAUGAACCUUGAAGACAUUAUGAUAAGGGAAAUAAACCAGACACAAAAGGGCAAAUGCUGCAUGAUUCCACUCAUAGGAGGUACCUAGAGAAGCUGAAUUCUCAGAGACAGAGCACAGAAUGGUGGUUACCAGGGGCUAGGGGAGGGGGACGGGGGGAGCGGUUAGUGUUUAACGGAUGCAAAGUUUCGGUUUGAGAAGAUGAAAAUGUUCUGGAGAUGAAGAGUGGUGACGCUUGUGCACUGUGAAUGUGCUUAAUACCACUGAACUCUCGCUCAAAAACGGUAAAAUGGUAAAUUUUAUGCUGUGUCUAUUUUUCCACAAUAAAAAGAAAAUAAAUGACUAUAUGAAAAA